AGCCAUUGUUGAGGCGAAGGAGCUUCAAGCACCACGAACUCUCGAGGUCUAUACAAGGGUGGUAAUGAUCCAGAUUGGUCAUAGAUUUGAGGGGAAGGACACUAAUAACAACAUAAUUUGUGAUGGAUAUCUGUAAGGCUGCGGUCCAGAAGGUAAAGGUGAUGAAGUCGGUCUCAUAGGUUUUGGACACGGAAUGUAUGGUGGUGGUAAUCGGUGUACUGGUGAUUGGCGAGUAGGAGUUGCUGGUCUAAAAGACACAGGAGGUGAAGUAACAGAAGGCACUGGAGCCCAACCUUUUGGAUGAGCUGGUGGUCUUGACAUUUUUUAGUUACAAUUUCAGUCUAAAAGUUAUUUAAAAAAAAAAUACAAAACGAAAUUUAUUA